UUGAAGUGCCCACACAGAACUGGCCUCAGUGCUUGGCCUGGGGGAUGGGCAGACUUCAAGGUGAGGAAAAGACAGACGGAGAGGAAGGCAGAGCCCAGAAUGAGAAGACAGACACAUUCACAGUACAAACACACAGAGGCGAGUGACACAUACAUGCAGACUCGAAGGCAUGCAGCACUGGCUGCUCAUAUAUCUCCAGAAACACCCUGAGCAGGCUGUGGCACUGUGACAUCCACCACUUCUUCCGGUUGGACUCCCUCACUGCCUUGGAGCACACAUUGAGGCUCUUAGGAAGCCCCUCUUCUGGACAAGGAGCCUGAACUUUGUGAGCAAGAUGGAACCAUUUGCCUCCCCACUUCCCCCCAAGCAAAAUAAAGUCUAUUCAAAGUGGACAAUUUUAUUAGACUUUAAAGGAGAGACCCCAGAGCAGGCAAACUAUAAAUCUCAGCAGCCGCCUGGAGGAGGAGAAAAGAAAGAAAAAAAGCCCAUACAGUUUGAGUUAAGCCGGCACGAAGGUUGGAUAAGUGAUGGACAAGGAGCCAUAUGUGACUUGAAGUUAUCAUACAUGAUUUUCGCUUGCUUGAUUAGAGUUAUACCAAGAUUUGUCCUUGUGGGUUUGGAAGCAAUGGAUGAC